rnacentral:rRNA from 1 species
AGAGUUUGAUCCUGGCUCAGGACGAACGCUGGCGGCGUGCCUAAUACAUGCAAGUAGAACGCUGAAGAGAGGAGCUUGCUCUUCUUGGAUGAGUUGCGAACGGGUGAGUAACGCGUAGGUAACCUGCCUUGUAGCGGGGGAUAACUAUUGGAAACGAUAGCUAAUACCGCAUAACAAUGGAUGACACAUGUCAUUUAUUUGAAAGGGGCAAUUGCUCCACUACAAGAUGGACCUGCGUUGUAUUAGCUAGUAGGUGAGGUAACGGCUCACCUAGGCGACGAUACAUAGCCGACCUGAGAGGGUGAUCGGCCACACUGGGACUGAGACACGGCCCAGACUCCUACGGGAGGCAGCAGUAGGGAAUCUUCGGCAAUGGGGGCAACCCUGACCGAGCAACGCCGCGUGAGUGAAGAAGGUUUUCGGAUCGUAAAGCUCUGUUGUAAGUCAAGAACGAGUGUGAGAGUGGAAAGUUCACACUGUGACGGUAGCUUACCAGAAAGGGACGGCUAACUACGUGCCAGCAGCCGCGGUAAUACGUAGGUCCCGAGCGUUGUCCGGAUUUAUUGGGCGUAAAGCGAGCGCAGGCGGUUUGAUAAGUCUGAAGUUAAAGGCUGUGGCUCAACCAUAGUUUGCUUUGGAAACUGUCAAACUUGAGUGCAGAAGGGGAGAGUGGAAUUCCAUGUGUAGCGGUGAAAUGCGUAGAUAUAUGGAGGAACACCGGUGGCGAAAGCGGCUCUCUGGUCUGUAACUGACGCUGAGGCUCGAAAGCGUGGGGAGCGAACAGGAUUAGAUACCCUGGUAGUCCACGCCGUAAACGAUGAGUGCUAGGUGUUGGAUCCUUUCCGGGAUUCAGUGCCGCAGCUAACGCAUUAAGCACUCCGCCUGGGGAGUACGACCGCAAGGUUGAAACUCAAAGGAAUUGACGGGGGCCCGCACAAGCGGUGGAGCAUGUGGUUUAAUUCGAAGCAACGCGAAGAACCUUACCAGGUCUUGACAUCCCGAUGCUAUUUCUAGAGAUAGAAAGUUACUUCGGUACAUCGGUGACAGGUGGUGCAUGGUUGUCGUCAGCUCGUGUCGUGAGAUGUUGGGUUAAGUCCCGCAACGAGCGCAACCCCUAUUGUUAGUUGCCAUCAUUCAGUUGGGCACUCUAGCGAGACUGCCGGUAAUAAACCGGAGGAAGGUGGGGAUGACGUCAAAUCAUCAUGCCCCUUAUGACCUGGGCUACACACGUGCUACAAUGGUUGGUACAACGAGUUGCAAGUCGGUGACGGCAAGCUAAUCUCUUAAAGCCAAUCUCAGUUCGGAUUGUAGGCUGCAACUCGCCUACAUGAAGUCGGAAUCGCUAGUAAUCGCGGAUCAGCACGCCGCGGUGAAUACGUUCCCGGGCCUUGUACACACCGCCCGUCACACCACGAGAGUUUGUAACACCCGAAGUCGGUGAGGUAACCUUUUGGAGCCAGCCGCCUAAGGUGGGAUAGAUGAUUGGGGUGAAGUCGUAACAAGGUAGCCGUAUCGGAAGGUGCGGCUG